rnacentral:rRNA from 1 species
UUAUACCGCGAAACUGCGAAUGGGUCAUUAUAUAASUUAUCGUUUAUUUGAUAGUACCUUACUACUUGGAUAACCGUGGUAAUUCUAGAGCUAAUACAUGCUAAAAAUCCCSACUUCGGAAGGGAKGUAUUUAUUAAAUUAAAAACCAAUGCCCCCCGGGGCUCUCUGGUGAUUCAUGAUAACUUCUCAAAUCGCAUGGCCUUGCGCCGGCGAUGGUUCAUUCAAUUUUCUUCCCUUUCAACUUUCGAUGUUUGGGUAGUGGCCAACCCUGGUU